GACGAACGCUGGCGGCGUGCUUAACACAUGCAAGUCGAACGGAAAGGCCCUGCUUUUGUGGGGUGCUCGAGUGGCGAACGGGUGAGUAACACGUGAGUAACCUGCCCUUGACUUUGGGAUAACUUCAGGAAACUGGGACUAAUACCGGAUAGGAGCUCCUGCAGCAUGGUGGGGGUUGGAAAGUUUCGGCGGUUGGGGAUGGACUCGCGGCUUAUCAGCUUGUUGGUGGGGUAGUUGCUUACCAAGGCUUUGACGGGUAGCCGGCCUGAGAGCGUGACCGGCCACAUUGGGACUGAGAUACGGCCCAGACUCCUACGGGAGGCAGUAGUGGGGAAUAUUGCACAAUGGGCGGAAGUCUGAUGCAGCAACGCCGCGUGCGGGAUGACGGCCUUCGGGUUGUAAACCGCUUUCGCCUGAGACGAAGCGUGAGUGACGGUAAUGGGUAAAGAAGCACCGGCUAACUACGUG
rnacentral:rRNA from 1 species